GAAGUUGUUCUGGGAAGCUUAAAUUGCCUUUUUACCCCUAGGAGAUUAAAGAGCUUUAUAUUCCAGAGUUGUCCCUUUCUGAAAGAGGAGAAUAUAAAAUUACCUAAUUUUUUUUUUAUUUUCAGAACACAUCUGAAUAUUUAAAAACAUGUGCAUGGAGCAUUGGAAUUAUAGAAAAGAACCUUAAUUUACAGCUUUGAACUUGAAAUCUGUGGAAAAAGAAGUAGUUUCCUUUCCAAUCCUACAGAAAGACACAGUAAAAUAAUGAUGACCCCUUAGGAAAAAAAAAAUAAAACAAAACAACAAAAAAAACAACAGAUAAGAAACUAAAGUUCCUUGCCACACAAGAUUAAAGUUAACGGGAUGGCACAAAAAUGACUGUCAAUAGCAUUUGCUUUUUUUGUCCCACCACUUGGUAAUAAAUUAUGUAUGUAGAGCAUCGACCCUCUCAUGUCAUUUAUAGUAGACGGCGAAACUCUGUAACAUUUUAGGAUGAACUAUCACGUCUUUCAUCAUAGUUCCUUCUUUAAAAAAAAUCUGGAAGAGAAAACUAAAUAGUAUGUAAUGCAAUGGGAUUUAUAUUCACAGAUGUCACAAAAUUGAGGAAUUUCUAUGAAUCACAGAGCUGCCUCCUACUGGCCUGGAACAGGAUGGUAGCAAGUCAUGUAACAGAACUUGUAAUCUCUGCUUCUUAAGCUUACUCUUUUUGUCUGCACUCCUGCUUAGUCUUCACCCAGGUAUUGAGAGUUGGAGAAGUGCAAAGGUUGUCUCCAAAACCAGCAAUAGGUGUAUAUAUAUAUAUAUAAAAGUAUAAAACUAUAUCUAUAUAUA